rfam:Botryobasidium botryosum FD-172 SS1 unplaced genomic scaffold BOTBOscaffold_67, whole genome shotgun sequence.
GGGCAAAUAGCUCAGUUGGUAGAGCGCACGCUUCGCAUGCGUGAGGUCUUGGGUUCGAUUCCCAAUUUGUCCA